rnacentral:rRNA from 1 species
GGCUUAGAGUUUGAUCAUGGCUCAGGACGAACGCUGGCGGCGCGCCUAACACAUGCAAGUCGAACGGAGUUGAGAGGAGCUUGCUUUUCUUGACUUAGUGGCGAACGGGUGAGUAACGCGUGAGGAACCUGCCUCAAAGAGGGGGACAACAGUUGGAAACGACUGCUAAUACCGCAUAAGCCCACGGUCCCGCAUGGGAGAGAGGGAAAAGGAGCAAUCCGCUUUGAGAUGGCCUCGCGUCCGAUUAGCUAGUUGGUGAGGUAACGGCCCACCAAGGCAACGAUCGGUAGCCGGACUGAGAGGUUGAACGGCCACAUUGGGACUGAGACACGGCCCAGACUCCUACGGGAGGCAGCAGUGGGGAAUAUUGCACAAUGGGGGAAACCCUGAUGCAGCGACGCCGCGUGGAGGAAGAAGGUCUUCGGAUUGUAAACUCCUGUUGUUGGGGAAAAAGAGGAUGGUACCCAACAAGGAAGUGACGGCUAACUACGUGCCAGCAGCCGCGGUAAAACGUAGGUCACGAGCGUUGUCCGGAAUUACUGGGUGUAAAGGGAGCGCAGGCGGGUAUGCAAGUUGGGAGUGAAAUACAUGGGCUCAACCCAUGAACUGCUCUCAAAACUGUGUAUCUUGAGUAGUGCAGAGGUAGGCG